UAGGGAAUCUUCCGCAAUGGACGAAAGUCUGACGGAGCAACGCCGCGUGAGUGAUGAAGGUUUUCGGAUCGUAAAGCUCUGUUGUUAGGGAAGAACAAGUACCGUUCGAAUAGGGCGGUACCUUGACGGUACCUAACCAGAAAGCCACGGCUAACUACGUGCCAGCAGCCGCGGUAAUACGUAGGUGGCAAGCGUUGUCCGGAAUUAUUGGGCGUAAAGGGCUCGCAGGCGGUUUCUUAAGUCUGAUGUGAAAGCCCCCGGCUCAACCGGGGAGGGUCAUUGGAAACUGGGGAACUUGAGUGCAGAAGAGGGGAGUGGAAUUCCACGUGUAGCGGUGAAAUGCGUAGAGAUGUGGAGGAACACCAGUGGCGAAGGCGACUCUCUGGUCGGUAACUGACGCUGAGGCUCGAAAGCAUGGGUAGCGAACG
rnacentral:rRNA from 1 species